AGCGCAGGCGGGAAGACAAGUUGGAAGUGAAAUCCAUGGGCUCAACCCAUGAACUGCUUUCAAAACUGUUUUUCUUGAGUAGUGCAGAGGUAGGCGGAAUUCCCGGUGUAGCGGUGGAAUGCGUAGAUAUCGGGAGGAACACCAGUGGCGAAGGCGGCUUACUGGACGGUAACUGACGUUGAGGCUCGAAAGCGUGGGGAGCAAAACA
rnacentral:rRNA from 1 species